ACGUGCGGUAAUGACAUGAACUAGUGAGUAAUCUCUUGAUUCUGCAAUACCACCUAGGGAUAGGGUAGGACGAUCAAUUGCGCUAACUUCUGUUUAUAAUGCGCUAUUAAUUACUAGGGGAGGCUAGGGAUAGCAAGCCGGUAAUUGAUAUUAGGCCCUUUUCGCUGAGGGAUCGGGUUAAGGGGAGGCUAAGAAAGUCGCAUAACAAUUGAAUCAAUCUAAUAAUCAAGGGUAGUAUGUAAGAGAGAGUGGAAUAGAUGAAAUUGUUAGUACCCAACAACAUCCAUUC
rnacentral:lncRNA from 1 species